rnacentral:rRNA from 1 species
GCGAAAAUCGAAUGGCUUCCGACUCCCAAUGCACUUGGAUUUUUUAUUUGUUUUUUAAAAGUACACAAAUUGUGUACCAUAGCUUUAUAGAAGAGAGAAUUUCAAGUACAAAAUAACUACAACUCAUUGCGAACAACAAGUAUAGCGCACACUCCACACCUGGCUAGUCCAAAGAUAGCCACCACGACAAAACAACUACAACGCAAAAGAGCCUGACCAAAACAGAAGAACCAUGCCACGUCUCAACCUACGCCGGUCACCUCCGAAGAACCGUAGCUCCUGCCAAGCUUCCCUUGUCGACGCUCCAUCCACCCUUUAUGCCUAAAGGAGGUGGCAAGUGUAUGGUGGGACUCGAUCAGACCGGAGAAAGGCGCAGUCUUGGAAUCACUAGCGACGACCGUACAUUGUGCCGCAGAAGAUCCAUCAUGGACAGCGGCGAACACCGGAGGAGCACAAUGAAGGACCUCCAGACCGUGUCCCCAGACACGAUGCUCCCAACAGAGGGACGACGUCGAGGACGCGCCAUCGUGCCGACCCUGCACAGAAUCAAGGCUUUCGCCCGGAGACAACAACCCAACACCAAGCGAGGAAGAUAGCAACACCUCAGCGACGCCUCCAAGAAGGGGAAUGACAUCCGCGGAAGACAUCGCCGCCGGCCCGGCAACCGGGCAGGAUUUUCAUCUGUAUCGCCGCAUAUCUCCGCACCUCCAAGGCCCGGGGCAGCACCGUCCUUGUAGCCUCACACCGCCGCCAACGCAGCACCUCGCCGUCGAAGCUGCACAACUGUGGUUCAUCGACACCACACACAGCAGAGAGAACGCGGCCCAAUCAUCCACCAUCAACCCGGCCAGCAGCCUCCCGGCACCUCGGGCAUGGACCAGGAUCACCGCGAUAGAAUCACCCGCUCCAGGGGACACCCACGCUACGACCCUAGCCCCAGGCCCAGAUCGAACCUGAGCAGAGGCACAGAUCUGACCCGCCCUCCACGCUCCACUCGGACGCCAGCAUCGCCGGGAGGGCACCAACGCACGCCCCAGCUAGGAGGAGGUCGGCCGCCCACUACUCGCCAGGAGCUCCUUCCUGACCGAGCCUUCAUAGCGCCACCGCCUCCAAGGCCGAGAUCUCGCGCCGCUGCCUCCAAGUUGCGUUGACGCGCCGCCCUGCUCCACUGUCGUGCUGCCAGCCUCACCAAAGCCCACCUCUCCUCCACGAUCCCCGCCGUGCGCCGGCGAAGCCCGACGAGACUCGUGCCGCCGGACACCCACCACCAACGCCUCCCCGGGGACGACCCGCCUCCGCGCGAAAGUGCACGUCAGGGAGCGCCUCCAUCACUCGUCGGGCGUGGCCGCCACCGCCGGCGCCGGCAGCGGCAGCGGCCGGGGGAGGGAGAUCGGGCCGCCUGAAGGAUAGGGUUUGGGGUCCUCCGAAGCCGCUCGCACGAGCGGCCCGGGAGGAGAGGGAAAAUGUCGAUUUUUUAUUUGUCACUUGCGUAUGUGGACCCC